GAUGAACGCUGGCGGCGUGCCUAAUACAUGCAAGUCGAGCGAACAGACGAGGAGCUUGCUCCUCUGACGUUAGCGGCGGACGGGUGAGUAACACGUGGAUAACCUACCUAUAAGACUGGGAUAACUUCGGGAAACUGGAGCUAAUACCGGAUAAUAUAUUGAACCGCAUGGUUCAAUAGUGAAAGACGGUUUUGCUGUCACUUAUAGAUGGAUCCGCGCCGCAUUAGCUAGUUGGUAAGGUAACGGCUUACCAAGGCGACGAUGCGUAGCCGACCUGAGAGGGUGAUCGGCCACACUGGAACUGAGACACGGUCCAGACUCCUACGGGAGGCAGCAGUAGGGAAUCUUCCGCAAUGGGCGAAAGCUUGACGGAGCAACGCCGCGUGAGUGAUGAAGGUCUUCGGAUCGUAAAACUCUGUUAUUAGGGAAGAACAAAUGUGUAAGUAACUAUGCACGUCUUGACGGUACCUAAUCAGAAAGCCACGGCUAACUACGUG
rnacentral:rRNA from 1 species